rnacentral:misc_RNA from 1 species
UCCGGUUUGUCACCGGCAGUCAUCCUAGAGUGCCCACCAUAAAGUGCUGGCAACUAAGAUCAAGGGUUGCGCUCGUUGCGGGACUUAACCCAACAUCUCACGACACGAGCUGACGACAACCAUGCACCACCUGUCUUGGGUGCUCCGAAGAGGGGCACUAUCUCUAAUGCUUUCACCCAGAUGUCAAGACCUGGUAAGGUUCUUCGCGUUGCUUCGAAUUAAACCACAUACUCCACUGCUUGUGCGGGUCCCCGUCAAUUCCUUUGAGUUUCAGUCUUGCGACCGUACUCCCCAGGCGGAAUGCUUAAUGUGUUAACUUCGGCACCAAGGGUAUCGAAACCCCUAACACCUAGCAUUCAUCGUUUACGGCGUGGACUAC